GACGAACGCUGGCGGCGUGCUUAACACAUGCAAGUCGAACGGUAAGGCCCUUCGGGGUACACGAGUGGCGAACGGGUGAGUAACACGUGGGUGAUCUGCCCUGCACUUCGGGAUAAGCCUGGGAAACUGGGUCUAAUACCGGAUAGGACCACUGCCUGCAUGGGUGGUGGUGGAAAGCUUUUGCGGUGUGGGAUGGGCCCGCGGCCUAUCAGCUUGUUGGUGGGGUGAGGGCCUACCAAGGCGACGACGGGUAGCCGGCCGGCGAGGGUGACCGGCCACGCUGGGACUGAGAUACGGCGCAGACUCAUACGGGAGGCAGCAGUGGGGAAUAUUGCACAAUGGGCGCAAGCCUGAUGCAGCGACGCCGCGUGAGGGAUGACGGCCUUCGGGUUGUAAACCUCUUUCAGCACCGACGAAGCGCAAGUGACGGUAGGUGCAGAAGAAGGACCGGCCAACUACGUGCCAGCCGCCGCCGUAA
rnacentral:rRNA from 1 species